rnacentral:rRNA from 1 species
GACGAACGCUGGCGGCGUGCUUAACACAUGCAAGUCGAACGGAAAGGCCCUGCUUGCAGGGUACUCGAGUGGCGAACGGGUGAGUAACACGUGGGUGAUCUGCCCUGCACUUCGGGAUAAGCCUGGGAAACUGGGUCUAAUACCGGAUAGGAGCCAUUUUUAGUGUGAUGGUUGGAAAGUUUUUUCGGUGUAGGAUGAGCUCGCGGCCUAUCAGCUUGUUGGUGGGGUAAUGGCCUACCAAGGCGGCGACGGGUAGCCGGCCUGAGAGGGUGGACGGCCACAUUGGGACUGAGAUACGGCCCAGACUCCUACGGGAGGCAGCAGUGGGGAAGAUUGCACAAUGGGCGCAAGCCUGAUGCAGCGACGCCGCGUGGGGGAUGACGGCCUUCGGGUUGUAAACUUCUUUCGCUAGGGACGAAGCUUUUUGUGACGGUACCUAGAGAAGAAGCACCGGCUAACUACGUG